UAAAUAGUGUGAGAAGUGAUUGCUGAAUAUCAUUCAUUAGGUGUGAUAUCAAGUGCCGAGUAUAUUGUAUUAUAAUAACUAAACAUGAAGUUCUCAUUAGUGUGUGUGUUGUUGAUGUCCGUGUUUAUGUUGUUUAUUACACAGAGCUCUGCCAACCCUAAAGUUAACUUCGGAGCUAUUAAGAAAGGCCUCGGUAUUCUGAGCGCGGCGGGAACGGCUGAGAACAUAUACGAGGAGUGGAAACACAGACACGGAUAAAGAAAUAAUAUAUGAAAAUGACCUUUUAUAAUUAUAUUUUAAACACAUUAAAUGCUGGCUUUCCUGGUGACAUUAAUAAUGCAAUCAAAAUUAACACAAUACGAAUUUACUGUUUAUUAAUCAAACCCACCCGUCACAGAAACGCAAUUCUAAAAUUUCAAUUUUUUAGUUGCUUAAAUAAUUAAUACCAUAUUUUAUUAUAUUUUUUAAUGACUGUCAGUAUUAUAAAAUAACAAUGUUUUGCUAAACUUAAUACCUAAUAAAAUUCACUUAUUAGAAACAUUGUUGAAUUUACAUAAUAAUAAAGUUGAACCAUUGACGUCAGUGAAGCCUAGGAUCGAAUGAAGUUAAUUAAUAUAAAACAAAGGAAGUCUGUACUGGUUCAUAGUAACUACUGAAAUUACAGUUUUAAUUAAACAAAUAUUAAUUUAGUUGAAAUAUUCAAUGGAGGCUUGUUUAAGAGAAUAUAGUGACUUAUAUUUAAUAUGUAUUACCAUAUA